CUUUGUUCUUAAGUGUAUUAAAUAGGAAUUUGUUUGUCUCCAAGAAGUCAUGAUAAAGUGAAAGGUCUUGUUUCUGAGGAUAGAUUUCCUCUGAAUUUUUCAGAGGCAUAUGACAUCUAACCCCAGGGGGAGUAUAUGUUGUAUGCAACAUAAAUUAAUGUUUAGAUGCGGGCAGGGCCAGAUUAAGAGCCCAGUGGGCCUGGUGCUGAAAAUUAUGAUUGGCCUAAUUACAGAAUCUUAUCG